rnacentral:rRNA from 1 species
AGAGUUUGAUCAUGGCUCAGAUUGAACGCUGGCGGCAUGCUUUACACAUGCAAGUCGAACGGGGUGGAGGGGCAACUCUUCAUUCAGUGGCGAACGGGUGAGUAAUGCAUCGGAACGUGCCCCGUAGCGGGGGAUAACCCGGCGAAAGCCGGACUAAUACCGCAUAUGCUCUACGGAGGAAAGCAGGGGACCUGAAAGGGCCUUGCACUAUGGGAGCGGCCGAUGUCCGAUUAGCUUGUUGGUGGGGUAAUGGCCUACCAAGGCGACGAUCGGUAGCUGGUCUGAGAGGAUGAUCAGCCACACUGGGACUGAGACACGGCCCAGACUCCUACGGGAGGCAGCAGUGGGGAAUUUUGGACAAUGGGGGCAACCCUGAUCCAGCCAUGCCGCGUGCGGGAAGAAGGCCUUCGGGUUGUAAACCGCUUUUAGUCGGGAAGAAAAGGCGCAGGUGAAUAACCUGCGUUCUUGACGGUACCGGCGGAAUAAGCACCGGCUAACUACGUGCCAGCAGCCGCGGUAAUACGUAGGGUGCGAGCGUUAAUCGGAAUUACUGGGCGUAAAGCGUGCGCAGGCGGUUCGCUGUGUCCGAUGUGAAAGCCCCGGGCUUAACCUGGGAAUGGCAUUGGAAACUGGCGGGCUUGAGUGCGGCAGAGGGGGGUGGAAUUCCGCGUGUAGCAGUGAAAUGCGUAGAGAUGCGGAGGAACACCGAUGGCGAAGGCAGCCCCCUGGGUCGACACUGACGCUCAGNNACGAAAGCGUGGGGAGCAAACAGGAUUAGAUACCCUAGUAGUCC